GACGAACGCUGGCGGCGUGCCUAAUACAUGCAAGUCGAACGCUGAAGGAGGAGCUUGCUUCUCUGGAUGAGUUGCGAACGGGUGAGUAACGCGUAGGUAACCUGCCUGGUAGCGGGGGAUAACUAUUGGAAACGAUAGCUAAUACCGCAUAAUAGUAGAUGUUGCAUGACAUUUGCCUAAAAGGUGCAAUUGCAUCACUACCAGAUGGACCUGCGUUGUAUUAGCUAGUUGGUGGGGUAACGGCUCACCAAGGCGACGAUACAUAGCCGACCUGAGAGGGUGAUCGGCCACACUGGGACUGAGACACGGCCCAGACUCCUACGGGAGGCAGCAGUAGGGAAUCUUCGGCAAUGGACGGAAGUCUGACCGAGCAACGCCGCGUGAGUGAAGAAGGUUUUCGGAUCGUAAAGCUCUGUUGUAAGAGAAGAACGAGUGUGAGAGUGGAAAGUUCACACUGUGACGGUAGCUUACCAGAAAGGGACGGCUAACUACGUG
rnacentral:rRNA from 1 species